rnacentral:rRNA from 1 species
ACAGUUGGAAACGACUGCUAAACCCGGAUGAGCCGAAAGGUAAAAGAUUAAUCGCCUAGAGAGGGGCUUGCGUCUGAUUAGCUAGUUGGUGAGGUAAGAGCCCACCAAGGCGACGAUCAGUAGCUGGUCUGAGAGGAUGAUCAGCCACACUGGGACUGAGACACGGCCCAGACUCCUACGGGAGGCAGCAGUGGGGAAUUUUCCGCAAUGGGCGAAAGCCUGACGGAGCAAGACCGCGUGGGGGAGGAAGGUUCUUGGAUUGUCAACCCCUUUUCUCAGGGAAGAACACAAUGACGGUACCUGAGGAAAAAGCAUCGGCUAACUCCGUGCCAGCAGCCGCGGUAAUACGGGGGAUGCAAGCGUUAUCCGGAAUGAUUGGGCGUAAAGAGUCCGUAGGUAGUCAUCCAAGUCUGCUGUUAAAGAGCGAGGCUUAACCUCGUAAAGGCAGUGGAAACUGGAAGACUAGAGUGUAGUAGGGGCAGAGGGAAUUCCUGGUGUAGCGGUGAAAUGCGUAGAGAUCAGGAAGAACACCGGUGGCGAAGGCGCUCUGCUGGGCUAUAACUGACACUGAGGGACGAAAGCUAGGGGAGCG